rnacentral:rRNA from 1 species
AACGAACGCUGGCGGCAGGCUUAACACAUGCAAGUCGAACGCCCCGCAAGGGGAGUGGCAGACGGGUGAGUAACGCGUGGGAACGUGCCCUUCGCUUCGGAAUAUUCCCGGGAAACUGGGAGCAAUGCCGGAUACGCCGAAUUGGGAAAGAUUUAUCGGCGAAGGAUCGGCCCGCGUUAGAUUAGGUAGUUGGUGGGGUAAUGGCCUACCAAGCCUACGAUCUAUAGCUGGUCUGAGAGGAUGAUCAGCCACACUGGGACUGAGACACGGCCCAGACUCCUACGGGAGGCAGCAGUGGGGAAUCUUGGACAAUGGGCGCAAGCCUGAUCCAGCCAUGCCGCGUGAGUGAAGAAGGCCUUAGGGUUGUAAAACUCUUUCGCCGGUGAAGAUAAUGACGGUAGCCGGAGAAGAAGCCCCGGCUAACUUCGUGCCAGCAGCCGCGGUAAAAC